rnacentral:lncRNA from 1 species
CAGAAGCAAAGAAUUAGGGUUGAUAGAGAUUGGGGAUUUCUUCAAGGGUGGUUACCCUUCUCUCUUAACCCGAUGAUUUCUCCAUUUUAUGCAACCAACAGCCCUUAAUUUUUCAACAGCAGAAGCCAGACGAAGAACAAGAACAAGUCUCUCUCUCUCUCUCUCUAUACAUAUACUCCACCCUAAGCCAAUAUUUGGCUCACGUUUAUAAUGCGCUUGGAUUUAGUGCAUGUUUGGCUAAAGCUUAAAUUAUUAGGCUUAAUUUCCUUUCGAGGGAAUCGCUCUGGUAAAUUUAAUGGGGCAAUGAUGAUAUUUCCUUUGUUUUUAUGUUUUUCUGAGCUAGCGGAUUGGGAACUGAGACAAAUCGAUACGUAUCUUGGCGUGGCAACUCUGGAUGGCUGUGAUUAGGGUUUCUUGAUCACAUGCAACCAGUGUUUUGCAGCCAUGGCGAGGUCGAAUUGCCUUUGCCUAUUUAUUACAUAUAGAUCUGAGCCUCUAUUUUUUUUUAUUUUUUUU